rnacentral:rRNA from 1 species
UCACUUUCAACAACGGAUCUCUUGGCUCUCGCAUCGAUGAAGAACGUAGCGAAGUGCGAUAAGUAAUGUGAAUUGCAGAAUCCGUGAAUCAUCGAAUCUUGACUCAUAUGCACUCUCUGGUUUCAG